AACGAACGCUGGCGGCAGGCUUAACACAUGCAAGUCGAACGGUUGUAGCAAUACAGCAGUGGCAGACGGGUGAGUAACACGUGGGAACCUUCCUAGGGGUACGGAACAACUCAGGGAAACUUGAGCUAAUACCGUAUACGUCCGUGAGGAGAAAGAUUUAUCGCCCUUAGACGGGCCCGCGUAGGAUUAGGUAGUUGGUGAGGUAACGGCUCACCAAGCCUACGAUCCUUAGCUGAUCUGAGAGGAUGAUCAGCCACACUGGGACUGAGACACGGCCCAGACUCCUACGGGAGGCAGCAGUGGGGAAUCUUGGACAAUGGGCGCAAGCCUGAUCCAGCCAUGCCGCGUGAGUGAAGAAGGCCUUCGGGUUGUAAAGCUCUUUUACCAGGGACGAUAAUGACGGUACCUGGAGAAUAAGCCCCGGCAAACUUCG
rnacentral:rRNA from 2 species